AGGCCCGGCCCGAUCUGAUGGGCUUUUUCAAGCCCGGCUCAUGGUCGAGUUUGGGCUUUGAAUUUUCUAAAAAAAUCCGGCCCAGCCCGAUAUUUUCUCUGUCCUCUUUAAAGCCCAACCCGGCCCGGUCCGAUGGGCUUUUUUAAGCCCGGCUCAUGGGUCGGAUUUGGGCUUUGAAUUUUCUGAAAAAAUCCGGCCCAGCCCGAUAUUUUCUCUCUCCUCUUUAAAGCCCGACCCGACCCGACCAUACCCAAG
rnacentral:lncRNA from 1 species